UACGGAGGGUGCGAGCGUUGUCCGGAAUCACUGGGCGUAAAGGGCGCGUAGGCGGCCUGGCAAGUCGGUGGUGAAAGCCCGUGGCUCAACUACGGGUCGGCCACCGAUACUGCUAUGGCUCGAGUUUGGUAGAGGCAGAUGGAAUUCCGGGUGUAGCGGUGGAAUGCGUAGAGAUCCGGAAGAACACCGGUGGCGAAGGCGGUCUGCUGGGCCAAGACUGACGCUGAGGCGCGACAGCGUGGGGGAGCAAACAGG
rnacentral:rRNA from 1 species